rnacentral:rRNA from 1 species
GAUGAACGCUAGCUACAGGCUUAACACAUGCAAGUCGAGGGACCGGCUCACGGGUGAGUAACACGUAUCCAACCUGCCCUUUACUCGGGGAUAGCCUUUCGAAAGAAAGAUUAAUACCCGAUAUAAAGGAUGGGGAUGCGUUCCAUUAGGUUGUUGGUGAGGUAACGGCUCACCAAGCCUUCGAUGGAUAGGGGUUCUGAGUGGAAGGGCCCCAAGAUUGGAACUGAGGCACGGUCCAAAAUCCUACGUGAGGCAGCAGUAAGGAAUAUUGGUCAAUGAGCGCUAGCCUGAACAAGCCAAGUAGCGGGAAGGAUGAAGAGUUAUGGGUCGUAAACUACUUUUAUAUAAGAAUAUGUAUUAUAUGAAUAAGGAUCGGCUAACUCCGUGCCAGCAGCCGCGGUAAUUC